GGGCGCAUCAGCACUUUCAUUUGUCUCACAUGGCUCGGUUUCCAAGCCUCUCCCCGCGCUCUUACACAACUCACCAUGAGGUCACCGUUGCUCCUCACGUCCGCACCCAAAGACAGAGGAACGACGAAGGGCUCGGUUACUUUGCAAAUACAUGUCGGUUCAGCUGAUUGGAUUGUUGGGCAAUGGUGUCAGAUUUCUGUUCCUAGAAACAAAGACAGGGAGCGAGAGGGAUUUGGACCCGAUGCUUAAGCUGUCAACCGAGUUUUGGACAUAUAUUUAGUGAACCUGAAGUUAGGAACAGUUCAGGGUGAGUAUGAAGCAUGCAGCUGUCGUCGAGAGCCGGUCCCGGAGAGGCAAUAAUCAGCAGAGGUUACAGACGCAUUGCCUCACCCAAAGCCCGAGGCUAAGCUGCAAUGAGUUGGAAUGAGCCCAGAUGAGAGGGAGGAAUCUGAACUGCUGGGACACUCCUCCAGUUCAAACAUACACUUUUACAACAGGGGAUUUUUUUUGGCAUAUGACCCGUUUCUAGAAACAGUUUUUCUUCAUUCCAUCAUGUAAAACAUAAUAGUCUAAUCAUUAAUCUUGCUAGAACUCUAUACUAAUACUGCGGAUUGUAUGUUUGAUUAUGAGCUUAGUUAAAAACAAAUAAAAACAAAAAGGAGUA